UAUUUAAUUAGUAUAUAAAGUACAUUUAAUUUCCAAUUAAAAAGUUUUUAAAAAAAAAUUAAAUAA
rnacentral:tRNA from 1 species